UCGCGGCCUAUCAGCUUGUUGGCGAGGUAACGGCUCACCAAGGCAACGACGGGUAGCUGGUCUGAGAGGAUGGCCAGCCACAUUGGGACUGAGAUACGGCCCAGACUCCUACGGGAGGCAGCAGUGGGGAAUCUUGCGCAAUGGCCUAACGGCUGACGCAGCGACGCCGCGUGUGGGAUGAAGCUCCUCGGAGUGUAAACCACUGUUGCCCGGGACGAAUAGCUCGAUUAAUCGAGCCUGACGGUACCGGGUGAGGAAGCACCGGCUAACUCCGUGCCAGCAGCCGCGGUAAUACGGGGGGUGCGAGCGUUGUCCGGAAUCACUGGGCGUAAAGGGCGCGUAGGUGGUUUGAUAAGGGUGUGGUGAAAGUCCGGGGCUCAACCCCGGAUCUGCCGUGCCGACUGUCAAACUCGAGGACUGUAGAGGCAGACGGAAUUCCGGGUGUAGCGGUGGAAUGCGUAGAGAUCCGGAGGAAGACCGGUGGCGAAGGCGGUCUGCUGGGCAGUUUCUGACACUGAGGCGCGACAGCGUGGGGAGCAAACAGGAUUAGAUACCCUGGUAGUCCACGCCGUAAACGAUGGGUACUAGGUGCCUGGGGGAGCGACCCUCUGGGUGCCGGCGCUAACGCAGGAAGUACCCCGCCUGGGGAGUACGG
rnacentral:rRNA from 1 species